rnacentral:rRNA from 1 species
UGGUGGAGCGAUUUGUCUGGUUAAUUCCGAUAACGAACGAGACUCUAGCCUAUUAAAUAGUUUGCCGAUUUUUCGAGUCGGCGUCAACUUCUUAGAGGGACAAGUGGCGUUUAGCCACGCGAGAUUGAGCAAUAACA